UUCUAAAUUAAACUAUCUUCUGA
rnacentral:tRNA from 1 species